GGUUCGGAUCAUGGCUUCAGAUUGAACGCUGGCGGAUGUUUUACACAUGCAAGUCGAACGGCAUUGAUCGUCUGUAAGCAGGGCACACCGGUGAGAAUGAUUUGAAUGUGCUUAGUAGCGGGGGAUAACUACGCGAGCGCGGGGUAGCUAAUACCGCAUACGCCCUUCGGGAGAAAGCGGGGGACCUUCGGGCCUCGCACUAUUAGAGCGGCCGAUAUCGGAUUAGCUAGUUGGUGGGGCAACGGCUCACCAAGGCGACGAUCCGUAGCUGGUUUGAGAGGACGACCAGCCACACUGGGACCGAGACACGGCCCAGACUCCUACGGGAGGCAGCAGUGGGGAAUUUUGGACAAUGGGGGAAACCCUCAUCCAGCCAUCCCGCGGCAGGCAUGAAGGCCUUGAAGCAAAGCACUCUUGGCAGAAAAGAAACGGCACGGGAUAAUACCCCGCAACUGAUCAGUACCUGCAGAAUAAGCACUACGACCACGUGCCAGCAGCCGCGGUAAUACGUAGGGUGCAAGCGUUAAUCGGAAUUACUGGGGUGAGCGGCAGGCGGUUCGGAAAGAAAGAUGAACUGAGUUUAACUUUGGAACUGCAUUUUUAACUACCGAGCUGAGGCCGAGAGAAUUCGCGUGUAGCAGUGAAAUGCGUAGAUAAGUGGAAGAAACAUCGAUGGCGAAGGCAGCCUCCUGAUAACACUGACGCCUGGCGCACGAAAGCGGAGCAAACAGGAUUAGAUACCCGGUAGUCCACGCCCAAACGAUGUCAACUAGCUGCCAGUUUCGGCCUCGGUAGCAGCUAACGCGUGAAGCGAUCACCUGUGGCGCGGUCGCAAGAUUAAAACCCGUGCGAUCGAUAAUCGCACAAGCGGUGGAUGAUGUGGAUUAAUUGAUGCAACGAAAACGCACCACUUUUUGACAUGUCUGGAAUCCCAUGAUUAGAGUGCCGCAAGAGAACUGGAAACAGAAAGCUGCAUGGCUGUCGUCAGCUCGCAUGUGGAGAUGCCGGGUUAAGUCCCGCAACGAGCGCAACUCCUUGUCAUUAGUUACAAGAAAGGGCACUUUAAUGAGACUGCCGGUGACAAACCGGAGGGGAAGGUGGGAUGACGUUGUCCUCGCGGCUCUUGGUGGGUAGGGCUUCACACGUCAUACGCCGGGCGAGGUCGCCAACCCGCGAGGAGCUAAUCUCAGAAACCUGAUCGUAGUCCGGAUCGCAGUCUGCAACUCGACUGCGUGAAGUCGUGGAAUCUGCUAGUAAUCAGAUCAGCAUGUCGCGGUGAAUACGUUCCGGGGUCUUGUACACACCGCCCGUCACACCAUGUGGAGUGGCUUUACCAUAGUUAGCCUAACCGUAAGGAGGGCGAUUACCACGGUAGGAUUCAUGACUGGUGAAGUCGUAACAAGGUAA
rnacentral:rRNA from 1 species